rnacentral:rRNA from 1 species
UACGUAGGGGGCUAGCGUUGUCCGGAUUUAUUGGGCGUAAAGAGCUCGUAGGUGGUUCGGUAAGUCGGAUGUGAAAUCUCCAGGCUCAACCUGGAGGGGUCAUUCGAUACUGCCGUGACUAGAGUUCGGUAGAGGAGUGUGGAAUUCCUGGUGGAGCGGUGAAAUGCGCAGAGAUCAGGAGGAACACCAGUGGCGAAGGCGACACACUGGGUCGCACCUGACGCUAAGACGCGACAGCAUGGGGAGCGAACGGG